CAUGCAGCGCGCGUCCACCUUUACCUUUUGGAAUAGCAAUGGUUCGUCCAUAAAUUCGCUUCUUUUUAGAAGAAUUCAACUUUUUUAAUGGUCUUCUCACCUGUUUCUUGGUAGUCUCGUUUAUUCGAAGAAGAGAACUCCAGUUUACCCACAAGUAAAAUAUCUUUUUGCAGAAUUGUUUUUCACUACAAGGCCCUCCUCAUCCGACCCUUAAUGGAGAAAGCCAUAGCAAAUUCUCACUCCAGGAGAAACGUUAGCUAGCUGUUCGCGGAAUGAUAAGAGACAGGGUUUCUCUUUGUAGCCUUGGAUGUCCUGGAACUCACUUUAUAGACCAGGAUGGCUGGAGAUCCACCUGCCUCUACCUGUUGAGUGCUGGGACUGAAGGUGUGGGGAUGUGAGGCUACUUCAGACUGUCCACAGCAGCUGACCAUCAUUUACCUUGUGCUCUAGCAGAAACAUGGUUUUGCCAGCUGCAGCUCAGCUGACUGGCCGGCAAGCCCCAGUGGUCCUUCCUUCUCAGCUCCCCAGCACAGGUUACCUGCAUGCCUGGACAUGCUCAGCUCUUAUGUGAGUGAACAGGUAUAGCCAUAAUGGAUGGGGGCAGCCGCUUGACAGGGAACACUGAAGAACAGAGCCAUCACAAGCCAGCAUGUGCCAAGCCUGUGGUCCUGAAUUUGAUCCCUGGAGCACACACGGUGGAAGGAGAGAACUGACUCCCACAAGUUGUUUUUUGGCCUGCACAUGCGUGCACACAUGUACCCACACACAAAAUAAACGGAUGUAAAAACUGGAAA